GAGCUCGUAGGCGGUUUGUCGCGUCUGCUGUGAAAUCCCGAGGCUCAACCUCGGGCCUGCAGUGGGUACGGGCAGACUAGAGUGCGGUAGGGGAGAUUGGAAUUCCUGGUGUAGCGGUGGAAUGCGCAGAUAUCAGGAGGAACACCGAUGGCGAAGGCAGAUCUCUGGGCCGUAACUGACGCUGAGGAGCGAAAGGGUGGGGAGCAAACAGGAUUAGA
rnacentral:rRNA from 1 species